GGGCAAACUGCAAGUCGAACGAACUCUGGUAUUGAUUGGGUGUUGCAUCAUGAUUUACAUUUGAGUGAGUGGCGAACUGGUGAGUAACACGUGGGAAACCUGCCCAGAAGCGGGGGAUAACACCUGGAAACAGAUGCUAAUACCGCAUAACAACUUGGACCGCAUGGUCCGAGUUUGAAAGAUGGCUUCGGCUAUCACUUUUGGAUGGUCCCGCGGCGUAUUAGCUAGAUGGUGGGGUAACGGCUCACCAUGGCAAUGAUACGUAGCCGACCUGAGAGGGUAAUCGGCCACAUUGGGACUGAGACACGGCCCAAACUCCUACGGGAGGCAGCAGUAGGGAAUCUUCCACAAUGGACGAAAGUCUGAUGGAGCAACGCCGCGUGAGUGAAGAAGGGUUUCGGCUCGUAAAACUCUGUUGUUAAAGAAGAACAUAUCUGAGAGUAACUGUUCAGGUAUUGACGGUAUUUAACCAGAAAGCCACGGCUAACUACGUGCCAGCAGCCGCGGUAAUACGUAGGUGGCAAGCGUUGUCCGGAUUUAUUGGGCGUAAAGCGAGCGCAGGCGGUUUUUUAAGUCUGAUGUGAAAGCCUUCGGCUCAACCGAAGAAGUGCAUCGGAAACUGGGAAACUUGAGUGCAGAAGAGGACAGUGGAACUCCAUGUGUAGCGGUGAAAUGCGUAGAUAUAUGGAAGAACACCAGUGGCGAAGGCGGCUGUCUGGUCUGUAACUGACGCUGAGGCUCGAAAGUAUGGGUAGCAAACAGGAUUAGAUACCCUGGUAGUCCAUACCGUAAACGAUGAAUGCUAAGUGUUGGAGGGUUUCCGCCCUUCAGUGCUGCAGCUAACGCAUUAAGCAUUCCGCCUGGGGAGUACGGCCGCAAGGCUGAAACUCAAAGGAAUUGACGGGGGCCCGCACAAGCGGUGGAGCAUGUGGUUUAAUUCGAAGCUACGCGAAGAACCUUACCAGGUCUUGACAUACUAUGCAAAUCUAAGAGAUUAGACGUUCCCUUCGGGGACAUGGAUACAGGUGGUGCAUGGUUGUCGUCAGCUCGUGUCGUGAGAUGUUGGGUUAAGUCCCGCAACGAGCGCAACCCUUAUUAUCAGUUGCCAGCAUUAAGUUGGGCACUCUGGUGAGACUGCCGGUGACAAACCGGAGGAAGGUGGGGAUGACGUCAAAUCAUCAUGCCCCUUAUGACCUGGGCUACCACGUGCUACAUGGAUGGUACAA
rnacentral:rRNA from 1 species